rnacentral:rRNA from 1 species
GACGAACGCUGGCGGCGUGCUUAACACAUGCAAGUCGAACGGAAAGGCCCUGCUUUUGUGGGGUGCUCGAGUGGCGAACGGGUGAGUAACACGUGAGUAACCUGCCCUUGACUUUGGGAUAACUUCAGGAAACUGGGGCUAAUACCGGAUAGGAGCUCCUGCUGCAUGGUGGGGGUUGGAAAGUUUCGGCGGUUGGGGAUGGACUCGCGGCUUAUCAGCUUGUUGGUGGGGUAGUGGCUUACCAAGGCUUUGACGGGUAGCCGGCCUGAGAGGGUGACCGGACACAUUGGGAAGGAGGUACGGGCGAGAGUCAGACGGGAGGAAGCAGGGGGGAAUAGGGCAGACGGGGCGGAAGCCUGAGGCAGCAACGCCGCGUGCGGGAGGACGGCCGGCGGGUGGGAAAAAGCUGGCGCCUGUGACGAAGAGGGAGGGAAGGGAAUGGGUAAAGAAGCACGGGCGAACUAAGUG